GUGCCAGCAGCCGCGGUAAUACGGAGGGUGCGAGCGUUAAUCGGAAUUACUGGGCGUAAAGCGCACGCAGGCGGUUUGUUAAGCUAGAUGUGAAAGCCCCGGGCUCAACCUGGGAUGGUCAUUUAGAACUGGCAGACUAGAGUCUUGGAGAGGGGAGUGGAAUUCCAGGUGUAGCGGUGAAAUGCGUAGAUAUCUGGAGGAACAUCAGUGGCGAAGGCGACUCCCUGGCCAAAGACUGACGCUCAUGUGCGAAAGUGUGGGUAGCGAACAGGAUUAGAUACCCUGGUAGUCCACGCCGUAAACUAUGAUCACUCGAUGUUGGCGAUACACAGUCAGCGUCCAAGGGAAACCGAUAAGUGAUCCACCUGGGGAGUACGAUCGCAAGGUUGAAACUUAAAGGAAUUGGCGG
rnacentral:rRNA from 1 species